rnacentral:lncRNA from 1 species
UGUGUCACAGACGCUGAUUGCAGUGCAAAGGGUGCCGAAUGUGUUUUAAAUACAGACGCUAACAGAUUAGAAUGUACAUGCAAGGAAAAGUUCACACAACAAGGCGCGAACAGUUGUAGACAGUGUGCGGAUGCUCAAGACUGUGUAGACCUUAACUAUGCGGAUGACCCUGCAAAAGUUGUUUGUAACUCUAAAGUGUGCGAAUGUGCCACGGGCUAUGCUUUUGAUAGUGAUGAUAUAUGUCAGGCUGUGAAUCCGGACUGUCCUGCGCUGGACAAUCCUACAGAUGGAACUGUAUCUACCACCGGAGUUACAUACUUAUCAACAGCUACAUAUUCCUGCAAUUCUGGAUUUGAAAUAGUCGGAACUGAAACAAGAACGUGUGAUACUGGAGGUGUGUGGAGUGGUUCUGCACCUACAU